GAGAACAUUAAAGAGGCUCACUGCUGUGAUUGUGGAGAAUCUGUACCAGAGAGGAGUUUUCUCAGAGGAAGAAGUCAGUAAAAUAAGGACAGAUGGUGGCGACUUUGACAAAAGGAGAAGAACUGUGGACUCUGUCAUCAAAAAGGGGGAAGCAGCUUGCUAUGAGUUUCUCAGGAUUAUUUACAUAAUAAAGAGAUCCACAGAAAGCUCAGUCUGUUCUGGAAAAUACAGAGACAGACUCUUCUUUGAAAGACGAAUUUGACCUGAACUACUGGAUCAGCUGCUUUUCCUUCAAGGAGGACACCAACAUGGAUGGAACGUAUUUACAAGGGCCCAGCCCGUGCUACAGAUACCAGCAAAAGCUGAAAUCAGAAACUCAAAAGAUUUCAGAAAGAUCAUGGAUCCAAAGUAAAGCAGUCCUGUUCAACAAGGAGACAUCUUUGUCGUACACUUCACUUGUGUUAGACACACAAGGACAGGCUUCACCAUCCAAAAUGAAAAAGUCAAAGAUCAAAAAAAGCAGGAAGGUUCGCACUAAAAAACUAAAGGCCUACAUACCUGAGGACAAACAGGAAACUUCCCCCAGUGAACUGCUGAAAACGUAUGAAAGAAAAAUCCUUUUGGUAGGAAAACCUGGAACUGGGAAAACGGCUGUGGUCCAUCAGAUGUUGAAACUAUUGUCAGAGAAAGACAACAAGGAUCUAGAUUACAUGUUCUACUUUGAUAUGAGAGAAACACCCAACAUCACAGAGGUCCAUAAACUGGAGGAUCUUCUCUUCAGUGUGUUCAAUGAACCAGAUGAAGGCAAAGACAAAGUCUUAGAGGACAUAAAGAAUAAUGCUGACAAUGUUACUAUCAUUUUUGAUGGCGUUACAGAUAUCCCCUCUACUUCUGUGGUGUUUAAGCUCAUACAGAAGACUCUUCUACCUGAAUCAUCAUCACCUGCAGACCAGAGGUGGAGUCAGCAGACUUCCUGUUAGGUUGGGACUGUCUCAGAGUGGAAGUGAAAGGCUUCAGUGAGCAGGGCAUCAGAGAAUACUUAUCCAAGUAUCUGAGUGAGGAACACUUCAACAAAGUUUUGUGUAACUUGGAAUUAUUCUCUCUGUGCCACGUCCCCAUGUACGCUCUGAUGGUGGUUGCCUGCUUUAGUUUUGAGGGCUCAGAGUUCUCUCCACAUCCCUGCACAGUUACAGAAAUAUACCUCAAUAUCCUCCAUUUCUGCAUUCAGAGAAAUGUUGGCAAGACAUCUGAAAAUGAAAGCACUAAAUGGGAUGCAGUACUGUCUUUAUCUGAGGCUGCUUUUUGUGCAACAGAAGGAAAAAAUGUGAACCUGAAAUCACUGCCCAAAUUAGAAAGCUGUGCUUAUUUAGCUUUUUUGAGCAGGAGUGUAUCUCAAGUCAGCUCAACUGCAAAGAAACCCUUGUGUGCCUUUCUCCACUACACUGUUCAAGAGUUUUUUGCAGCACUGUGGGUCUUGAAGGAUCCAGAACGGACCAGAAGUGUUGUCCAACAGUGUCUGACUGACAACAUCAAACACAUGAAACACUUAGUCCCCUUUUUGUGUGGACUGUUAAAUGAUAAAAACACUGAUUUGCUAGAAAGUCUGAUUCCUUCUCAGCAGCUCAGAGAAACAUCUGGCUGGUUCUUCAAACACUUGGUGACCACCUUUGUAGAUUGUAGUGACACUGAGGACUGUGAAAUAGACUUGCUGUUCUUAUGUCAGUGUCUCUAUGAGUCUCAGUCUGCUGAAGCCUGUGUUUAUCUUCUGGAUAAACUGGACUACUGUCUUGAUCUGAGUGGGGAGACUCUCGAUCCUCAGCAAUGCUAUGCUGUGUCCUAUAUAAUCAGCCAGAGUAAGGAGAGGAAAAUACAGCUGAAGCUGCAAAACACAAAAGUAUCAAAACAAGGAAUAAGACCAUUACUAGGAUGUCUGAGCAAACUCCAAAGACGUGUGUCUUCCUCCAGUCUCAGCCUAUCUGCACCUGAGAGAUUUGGUCAUCAGCCAGUUUCCAUUUAAGCCGGAGGAAGACAUUUAUUCAAUGCUGGAUUGUUGACUAAGCUAGAAUCCCAGGCUGAGUAAAUGUUCUCACUGAGUUGUGGACUUGUUUCUGGUGUUUCUUCUGACCAGGCCCGUGGCGAGGAUUCGAGCCUUCAGGACAUCCAGCUGUCUCAGAACCCAGUCGCAAAGAUUGUUGCUUUUCUGUGUGAUCAUGUGUCACUGUAA